AUAAAAAAUCAAAACUCGAUGUUACAUGACAAUUACACUAUACCAAAUGAAAUAAUGGAGUGCAUAUAUUGCAACAUAAUCUUUCAAUAUGAUGUUAAACAUAACUGUUCCAGUGUAAUAAAACAUUUAAUCGAUGCUCAUCAAAUCGCUGGAAGAGCUUCGGAAUUCAGAUCAACGAGAAAUGCUCAAGAUGUUGUUGUACCAAGCGGAUGUCAUCAGCCAACAUAGUGGGAACCAUUAUGGAAUCAGUUCUUUAGGUUUUAGCACAAAUGCCGCAGAUACUCUUACAAUUAGCCACAACAAUUUUUCAUAUCUUGACAGACAUGCUGAAAAUGUUGCUGUAUCAAGCAGACGUCAAUAGCCAACGUAUGAUUGGAACUACUAUAGAAUUAGUUUUUUAAGUUCUAGCACAAAUUAUAUAUAUACUUCUAGCACAAAUCCUAUAGAUACUUUUACAACAAGCCAUCAACCAAUACACAAUUGUUAUCAAUUUGAUUAUUCAGGGCCGAAUUUAAAUGUGUGGACGCCCUGGCUCAACUAAGAGGUGGAGAGCCCUAACCAUUUUUAAACCAAAAUUAAAUAGAAGUUUUUACGUUGUUUAAAUAAUUUAUUUUGAAAUAACAAGGUCAAGCAAUAUACGA